rnacentral:rRNA from 1 species
UACGGAGGAUCCAAGCGUUAUCCGGAUUUAUUGGGUUUAAAGGGUGCGUAGGCGGCCUAUUAAGUCAGGGGUGAAAGACGGUAGCUUAACUAUCGCAGUGCCUUUGAUGACUGAUAGGCUUGAAUAUACUUGAGGUAGGCGGAAUGUGACAAGUAGCGGUGAAAUGCAUAGAUAUGUCACAGAACACCAAUUGCGAAGGCAGCUUAACUAAAGUAUGAUUGACGCUGAGGCACGAAAGCGUGGGGAUCAAACAGG